UUCCCCCGGAGGAGGGCUGGGUGGAAAAUCUUCAGUUUACGUUUCUGUCUGUUCCGCCGCUGGUCCAACGGCCAGCAGCACCCACUUUUUCAAUGAAAGAGCAGUUUCCCUUUCCUCCGAGUUGCAAGGCUCGUGGGUUGACGAUGAGCUCGACUGCCUCCUCAUUCUCACCCACGACGCCCCCUUUCGCCAGUGGUCAAGAGGUAGCGGUUCGGAGACACAAUGCCUCUCCACACGUCUCUGGCCAGUUCCUCCGGGAACACAGGGAGUGUGGCCGUGAUGACUCAGAAUGCGAUGCUUUCUGGGCCGUCCGACACAACUCCCCAUCGCUGCACCACUGCGGGUAUAUCGACUGUCCCUUUGGUGCCACUUGUACGGAGUUUGGGAGCAUGGCUUGCGCUGCCCAACCCGUCACGCUGGCUCAUUCGGACGGUCCGACUCGGAUACGCGAUUCAGUUUGCCCAGCGACCUCCCAAGUUCAAUGGCAUUCCUGAGACUUCGGUGGCAGUCUGGGACGCCUCUGUCUUGUGCGAGGAGAUUGCUGUCCUGCUGGCGAACGAUGCAAUUGAGCCAGUCCCUCCAGCCAAGAUGAGGACAGGGUUUUACAGCCCUUACUUUAUCGUACCCAAGAACAGUUGUGGCCUUCAACCUAUCCUGGAUCUGCGAGUCUUGAAUCGGGCCCUGCACAAGCUCCCGUUCAAGAUGUUUACGCAGAAAUGCAUUAUCAAAUGCAUUCAGUCCCAGGACUGGUUUGCAGCGAUUAACCUGAAAGACGCUUACUUUCAUGUCUUGAUCCUCCCUCGCCACAGACCGUUUCUGCGGUUUGCAUUCGAGGGUCAGGCAUGGCAGUACAACGUCCUCCCCUUCGGGCUCUCCCUGUCCCCCCAUGUCCUCACGAAGGUUGCAGAGGGUGCCCUUGCCCCACUCUGGGAAGUGGGCAUCAGGAUCCUCAACUAUCUCGACGACUGGCUCAUUAUGGCCCGGUCCCGAGAGGAGUUGUGUGAUCUCAGGGACUUUGCCCUUAGAACAAGUGUCCCGGCAUGUUGUCACAACAGAUGUCUCCAACAUGGGCUGGGGCGCAACAUGCAAUGGGCAGGAAGCUUCAGGGUCCUGGACAGGACCUUGACUGCUUUGGCACAUCAACUGUCUGGAGUUGCUGGCAGUGCAUCUAGCUUACGGUGGUUUCGGCCACUGAUGCUAGACAAGCACGUGUUGGUCCACACGGACAACACUGUGGCUGUUUCGUACAUCAACCGACAGGGCGGUCUACGAUCAUGUCACAUGUUUCAACUCGCCCACCAUCUCCUCCUCUGGAGUCAAACGCAGCUCAAGUCGCUGCGCGCUAUCCACAUCCCGGGGGAGCUCAAUCGUGCAGCGGAUGUGCUCUCACGACAGCUCACUUUCCCUGGGAAAGGGCUACUCCAUCCCCAGACGGUCCAGCUGAUCUGGAGUCGAUUCAGGGAAGCCCAGGUAGACCUGUUUGCUUCCCACGAGUCCUCCCACUGCCAGCUGUACUAUUCCCUGUCCCAGGGCCCCCUGGUCAUGGAUGCACUGGCACACAGCUGGCCUCAGGCUAUACGCAAGUAUGCGUUUCCCCCAGCGAGCCUGCUCACACAGACACUGUGCAAGGUCAGGGAGGACAAGGAACAGGUCCUGUUGGUUGCACCUUACUGGCCCACCCGGACCUGGUUCUCAGAACUCAUGCUCCUCAUGACAACCCCUCCCUGGCACAUCCCCCUGAGAAGGGACCUCCUCUCUCAGGAGCUUGGCACCAUUUGGCACCCACGUCCAGAUCUUUGGAACCUCCACGUGUGACUUCUGGACGGGACGCGGCAAACCUAUGUGAUCUGCCACUGGCGGUGGUAGACACUAUCACUCAGGCUAGAGCCCCCUCUACGAGGCAGGCCAAUGCUCUGAAGUGGAGUCUGUUCACGAAUUGGUGUUCUUCUCACCAAGAAGACCCCCGGAGAUGCUCGGUCAGAGUCGUGCUUUCUUUCCUGCAAGAAGGUUGGAGCGUAGGCUGUCACCCUCUGCCUUGAAAGUGUAUGUGGCUGCCAUUGCAGCCCAUCAAGAUGUAGUGGACGGCCAGUCCCUGGGGAGGCAUGACCUGAACGUUAGGUUCCUGAGGGGUGCCAGAACGUUAAAUCCUCCUAGGACACCCCUGAUUCCCUUCUGGGACCUCUCUAUUGUUCUGGCUGGACUUCAGAGGGGUCCCUUUGAGCCGCUGGAUUCAGUCGAGCUUAAGCCUCUGGAGUCUAGGGGUUUUUUUGGGGCCUGGAGA
ensembl:lncRNA